rnacentral:rRNA from 1 species
CCAACCUGCCCUUUACUCGGGGAUAGCCUUUCGAAAGAAAGAUUAAUACCCGAUAGCAUAAUGAUUCCGCAUGGUUUCAUUAUUAAAGGAUUCCGGUAAAGGAUGGAGAUGCGUUCCAUUAGGUUGUUGGUGAGGUAACGGCCCACCAAGCCUUCGAUGGAUAGGGGUUCUGAGAGGAAGGUCCCCCACAUUGGAACUGAGACACGGUCCAAACUCCUACGGGAGGCAGCAGUGAGGAAUAUUGGUCAAUGGGCGUUAGCCUGAACCAGCCAAGUAGCGUGAAGGAUGAAGGCUCUAUGGGUCGUAAACUUCUUUUAUAUAAGAAUAAAGUGCAGUAUGUAUACUGUUUUGUAUGUAUUAUAUGAAUAAGGAUCGGCUAACUCCGUGCCAGCAGCCGCGGUAAUACGGAGGAUCCGAGCGUUAUCCGGAUUUAUUGGGUUUAAAGGGAGCGUAGGUGGACUGGUAAGUCAGUUGUGAAAGUUUGCGGCUCAACCGUAAAAUUGCAGUUGAUACUGUCAGUCUUGAGUACAGUAGAGGUGGGCGGAAUUCGUGGUGUAGCGGUGAAAUGCUUAGAUAUCACG